rnacentral:lncRNA from 1 species
GAGGAUAGAGUCUUGGUUUUAUUCUUUCCCCAGAUUUCCAUUUUAACCAUUAGAUCAUGAGUCCAUAGCCUUUGAAAAAAAUUGACAGAAUUGAUUCAGCCACCUCUAUUUCCUUGGAUAUCUUUGGUUCAGAUAUAGUUUACAGACUGGUUCAUAUAACAUAAAGCACAAAACAUCCAAAUGAUGAUGCUAUUUUGAAUUGAUAUUAAUGGGGUUAAGACCCAAUUCUGAAUUUGCAUUUAAUUUUAGUGACAUGAAUGGACUUGUUUUAUAAGUGGAAAUAAGCUUUAUACCAACAGUUAGAGAUUUCAAACUUUGUAGAAAUCACUAAUUAUCAUUCUUUGUGUUCUAUUCCACCAAAAUUAAAACUUUGACAUUGCCAUAAUCUUUGUAAGUGUUGUAAUAAUCCCUUUAGAGACUACAUCGUAAGGGCAAUUAUCAAGACUACAUUAAGAAUAUCUUCACAGGGAGUUCCAUUGUGGUUCAGUGGUAACAAACCCGAUUAGUAUCCAUGAGGAUGAGGGUUCAAUCCCUGGUCCCGUUCAGUGGGUUAAGGAUCCGGCAUUGCAGUGGGCUCUGGUGUAGAUUGCAGAUGUGGCUCAGGUCUGGAGUUGCUGUGGCUGUGGUGUAGGCCAGCAAGCUACAGCUCCAAUUGGACCAUGAGCCUGGAAACUUCCAUGUGCCACAGGUACGGCCCUAAAAAGAUCAAAAAGAAAAUAUAUCUAUACAAAUUAAUUUGCACCAAAAGAGAGAGGAAGUGAAAGAGAGAGAGCGCAAGAGAGAGAGAGAGGCUAUCAUUAACUACUAAUGGAGUCUGAAAGGAUAUAAGCGUGCUUAUUUCAUUUUGAAACAGUUAAAAAAAAUGCUAUUUUUUUCCUCAAGGGAUUUCCAUGGAGGUAUAUUCUUUCUUUGGGCAUUCCACUUUUAAGGUAAAAUAAUCUUCAAUUCACUAAUGUGUAAAACCCAUAUGAUUUAUAUAUGCUAUAAAGUAAGAAUUACUAAUGAAAAGUCAAUCACAUAACCAUCUUCUAAAUAUGGUUUAGAAAAGGAAAAUCUUGCCACUAAAACAUUGCAUAUUACUUAUAAAAACAUAAACAGGAUAUCCUUAUAUGUCUUUAUAAACUUCUGGUUUUUAAAGCUCAUCAUAGAAACUGCCUCCUGAGAAACAAAAUGCUAUUUGGUAUUUUUCCCUUACAGAAAGAUUGUUUCUUUAAUAGCUAACAACAGAAUUUUUGCAUGGGAAGGUCAAAUUGGAGCUGUCACUUCAGAAAUCAGCAAGGAGUGGAUUCAGAGUUUGUUUCCUCUUCCAACUAGUUCAUCUGCACAUAAAUGUUCAGGAGCUGAUGUUCUUUUAUCCUCAUGGGGCAAUGAGCUUCAAAUGAACCUGGAGUUCUAACUCUCAGCAGGGAAUAGUCCUGAUAGUAGGAGAUCCCAUUUGCCAUUAUCUAUUUGUGUUGCAAGGUAAUUCAUUUUGGGUUGAGAUCAAAUUGUUUUAAGCUGAGCUGGUAUUUUUAUUGGUGUCCUUCCAGCCAGCCUUCCUGGUAAGAACCGUCGUUAUUUCUAACAAGCUGACCUAAAGGAAAAGAUUAUUUCUGCCAGUGUGCAUUGUCACAAGGGAACAAAGAUGUGCAAGACCUAUUUUACGUUAGUUACUUAUUUUUAAAGCAUUGAUAGAGGUAUGAGAGUGGUAGUCUGCUCUUGGGGGAAAUCAGCUGACUAGUUGAUGAAGGGUCAGGAAAAAUGGGUGAUGAUGGGAACAUCUGAAACGAUCUGUUAGUAUUUGCUGUAAAAUUACCAUUUAAAGUUGAGGAAGGUAAUAUUUGCAAAAUGUAAUAGAUUUUGUAAAAAUACUGAAAAGCUCAACUCCAAACUGCCAAGUAACAUAUAUCAUUGGUUUCUAUUGCUAUUUAAUUAUUUGAGAAAUUUGGCAUAUAUAUAUAGUAUAGUAUAUGUGUAUAUAUACACAUAUACACACACUUUAGUGUUAAAAAGAUUCAAGAAAAGGGAGUUCCUUUCGUGGCUCAGUGGUUAACAAACCUGACUAGGAUCCAUGAGGAUGCGGGUCCGAUCCCUGGCCUCACUCAUUGGGUUAAGGAUCUGGAGUUGCCGUGAGCUAUGGUGUAGGUUGCACAUGCAGCUUAGAUUCCACAUUGCUGUGGCUGUGGCAUAGCCCUGCAGCUGUAGCUCUGAUUUGACCCCUAGCUUGGGAACUUCCGUAUGCUGCGAGUGAGUCCCCUAAAAAAAAUAAAAAAAAAAAAUGCAGAAAAAAAAGAUUCAAAAAAAGAAUUGUUAGCCCAUGAUUCCCUGAGUUUAACUUUGAAUCUUUUCAUAGUAAAAGGAUAAAACAUCUAAUUCUGAUCCACUUCCCAUUUCAACAACAACAUAAACUGAUCACAACACCUAGGUAAGAUAGGUGUGUAUUUUUGUUCCCCAGAUUGCAUAAAAAUGGUUUAGACAGUUGGCCCAAGGCAUUUUAAAAAGUCGGCAUUUGAGUUCACAUUAAAACUCGUGUGAGUUCCCUUUGUGGCUCACCAGGUUAAGAACCUGACAUAGUGUCUGUGAGGACGCAGGUUUGAUCCCUGGCCUCUCUCAGUGGGUUAAGGAUCUGCGGUUCCUGCAGUCGGCAGAGGUGCAUAUGCUACAGGUGUGGUCUUAAAAAGAAAAAAAAAAAACAAAACCAUGGAGUGUAUUUUGACACAGGACCUAUUCUAAGAUAACUUACACAUCACUGAAAAGCACAAAGUUUAAGACAUAUUUCAGCAACAGGGAGUUAGAGCAGGACAACAAGCCAUUAUAAGACUUUCCUCAUGAAUGCCAUUUUCCUGGGUGGCUUUUUUAGAGUGGGAUCUCCUAUCUGCUGCUUUAACGAGGCUUAUGCUUAAACAGCUAUCUUGCCUGAGUGAAAAUAUCACUUCUGCCAAAAAUAAAAUUGGUGAAAUCUUCAGAUGGUGAGUAGAAUACAGUAGACUAUCUGCAAGGGUUUGGUUUCUUGUUCAGUUAGGACUGCUCCAUGAUCAAGCCUUGUACAGAGGAGAAUUAUUUCCUCAACAAAGGGUGGGAGCCCUAGAAAGCAGACAGGAUAGAGUUGGGGAGAGGGGCGCAGCCCACAAAAUCUCACCCCAAAUCUAAUGUAGUCUCAUAUUGAUUGAUUGAUGGUCUUUUUAAAAGGGCUGCAGCUCCAGCAUAUGGAGGUUCCCAGGCUAGGAGCUGAAUUGGAGCUGUAGCCAGCCUACACCACAGCCACAGCAACACCCAAUCUGAGCCUCAUCUGCAACCUACACCACAGCUCAUGGCAACACCAGAUCCUUAACCCACUGAGUGAGGCCAGGGAUCCAACCCGCAUUCUUAUAGAUACUAGUUGGGCUCAUUACUGCUGCAUCAUAAUGCUAAACAAGUAGGGAAGCCCAUUAGAAUUUGGAGCGGGAGCUGUAUGUGUAUCAGAAAGGCCUCAGAUUAGAGCUGAAAGAAUGCUUACCCCUCAGUUCAGCCACUCCAGGUGACUUCUAUGGGAAAAUAUUUUUAGAGAAAAAUCAGUUUUAUGUUGAAAUCUUCAAAUCUCCUGAUAACCGCUGAUCCACCAUCAAAAAGCUGAAAGAGGAGUACGUGCUAGGCUCAGCGAUUCAGAGGAGCUGCUGCUUUUGGUUGUAAGAGAAAGUUGCUCCAGGAGUCAACUCUGAGCUCCACCUGCUUCAGGCACAGCUCCCUCUGGGCCCUGCCCCCAAACUUUUCUCCCUUUUCUAAAAGCUUCUGCAACAUGCUAGCCAGGAUAGGCGUGUUUCUCUGGGCAGUGUGGUCCUCUUCCCUGGCCUGCCUUCUGGGAGGUGUGGUGUAGAGCUGCUGGGGAGCAGAAGUCUGCCCAUUUACCCCCUAGAGCACAGGCAGGGCCAACCUCAGGGUUAGGCCGCAGGUCAGGAGACAGAGGGUCUACCUGAGGCCCUGAGCACAGGAGGGGUCACAGAUGCUUGGUCCUCCUGUGGAGGUUGGAGAGAGGAGAGGCGUUUGGAUCUGUCUUGGUGGUACCUUCUCAGUGACUCCGAACUGAGGCCUAGAAGAGUAGUGGCACUGAUGUAGGCCAGGAUCCAGAAGACGUCAGGACUAAACCCAAAGCUUACCAAAGAAUAAGCAGACUUGCAGCAAACUCCUCAGCUGUGCCAUGGCUGUACCAGUCUCAGAAAGAGAACCUUUAUUGCAAGUAAGAACGAUUGAUGUGAACACAGAAUACAUGGUCGGGGCAGAGACCCUUAGUUAUAGCUGGAAUCCCGGCCACUCAGGUUAUUAUGAGUUUUGCUUCCAUUCUCAGGGACAUUCAGAGUGGUCAGUAUGUAAUUCAAAGAGUACAUGUAGAGGAGUUUCCUUGUGGCUUAGCAGGUUAAGGAUCCGGUGUUGUCACUGCUGUGGCUUUGGUUAUAGCUGUGGCAUGGGUUAUAUCCCAGGCCCGGAAACUUCUGCAUGCUGUGGGCAUAGCCAAAAAAAAAAAAGGGUGGUGGCUUUUCCAGGUGGUGAGUGCCUUUUCCUGUAUGAUCUUAGAAGGGUUAAAAAAAAUACAUAACAAAACUGCACUUGGCAAUGGGGGUUGGAGGAUCCAAUGUUUUUAUUUCAGUAACUAAACUCCUGAUGAAUGGCAUACUAUAUCGUAAAAUGUUGGCUUUUUAAAGCAGGUUUGAACUUUUACACAAUCUGUUUUAACACUGGCAUGCACACCUGUAUACAUAUAUACUGAGAUGGUUCUAAUUCUUAAUUAAAAAAAUUUGACAAAACUAAAAUGUUAAAUGUACACUAUAAUGAAAACACUGCUAUAACACCAACCAGAUGGCUUGUAUUCCUUGGAAAAUUAUUUAAAGCAUUUUGACUUAGAGGGAUAGCUUUAUUAUUUAAAGAAAUUCUUCAAACUGUAAAUAAAGGCAGCUCUUUGGCCCAGUGCACUGUCUCCUUAGUUUGCCUAAUUAUAAGAACCACUGGGGUGCUUAUUAAGCAUUUGAACCUUCAGAGCCCAAACUGGUCCUUCUGCAUCUUAAUCUCUAGAGUCAAAGAUAGGGAUCCUCACUCAUCCAGGUAAUUCUUAUGAUCAAGUAAGUUCAAACUCAGUUUUGUAAAGUAGCAAAUGGGCCUUGGAAGUUGAUUUUUUUAAACGUCUAUGAAGGUAGAAUUAGUUCCUUCAAACAGUUUUAAUUUUUAAAAACCUUUUAUAUAAAACACUUUCAAAUCAUAGUUUUAUGUUCAAUGAGAAAAAAAUGUACCACGUAUGACAAGCAAAUGUAAGGAUUGGCUCCUGCUUGCCAAAUUUGAACAUGAAAGUGAUAAUUGAUGUUCCUAUCUAAAUGUCACCAAGCAGUAAUUUAAAAAAAGCUUUUACUAAAACUGUAUAUAUUUUGAAAGCAUCAAAGCCACUAUUGACCCAAAUAUCAAAGCAGUUUUUUUUUUUUUUAAAUCUCUACAUCCCAGAAAUAGAGGAAGUUAAGGUUUUACAAAAUCUUCAUUUGCAAAAACCUACUUGCCUUUUUACCUAUGGUGAAAAGAUAAAUGAAAAAUUAGUAGAUGGAUUCAUAAAACAAUUGGAGUGUCCCAGUGGCCCCACGAUUAAUACUAUUGCACUGAAGGCCCGAGGUGGAAGCUUUAUACUUAUUAUAUUCUGGGCACCACUACCUCCCCUCACAGAUGCAAAGUCUAAGGCUUCAAAAGGUUAAAACUUGCCCAGCACCACACAGCUCACAGCUGGUCCCAACAUCUGUUCUCAGGCCCAUCCACCAGCCUGCACUCUAACUGACCCUGGAAUAACACAGCAGCCAUAGGGCCACUACUGUCUUACUGGAACCCAAAGAAAAUGAGAUGGGAAGCAGCGCAAGUAUCAAUUACAGGUUGAAAUAUUUUCUAGUUCAAGUUUUCCUAUUAAACAUAACACAAUAGUAUAUGGCACACAUUUUCCUUUUGUGUGUAUUGCUAAAACAAAUUUUCAUUGAAAAACAACUACAAAAAUUCCAAACUAAAUUCCGGACUAAAUUGAUCUGUAAGCAUGUGCAUCUUUCUCAACAAGCAUUCGCACCUAGAUGCAACUAGAAAUUAUCAUCGUAAGUGAAGUAGGUCAGGAAGAGAAGGACAAAUACCAUAUGCUAUCACUCACAUGUGGAAUCUAAAAUAUGGCACAAAUGAGCCUAUCUACAAAACAGAAACAGACUCACAAACAUGGAGAAUAGACUGUGGUUGCAAAGGGGGGAUGGGAAAGGGAGUGGGAUGGGCAGGGAGUUUGGGGUUAAUAGGUGCAAAUGAUCACAUUUCGAAUGGACAAGGUCCUACUGUAUAGCUCAGGGAACUA